AAACUCUGUCUUAAACACUUGCACAAAAACAGAGUCAGUCUUUUGGCCUAUGGAUUAGAAAUGGAACAACAACUGAAAGUGGAAUUGGAGGAAGAGACGGUGACCUACGGUGGCUCAGCGGCCGCUUCUUCGUCUGUCGGUUCGUCAUCUUCACCGAGACCAAUGGAAGGGCUUAACGAGACAGGGCCACCGCCGUUUCUGACAAAGACUUACGACAUGGUGGAGGAUCCGGCAACGGACACGGUGGUGUCUUGGAGCAAUGGUCGUAACAGUUUCAUCGUUUGGGAUUCUCACAAAUUCUCCACCACUCUCCUUCCUCGCUUCUUCAAGCAUAGCAAUUUCUCCAGCUUCAUUCGUCAGCUCAACACUUACGGAUUCAGAAAGAUCGAUCCGGACAGAUGGGAGUUCGCGAACGAAGGGUUUUUGGCGGGGCAGAAGCAUCUCCUGAAGAGCAUAAAACGAAGGAGAAACAUGGGUUUGCAGACUGUGAAUCAGCAAGGAUCAGGAUCAGGAUCAGGAUCAGGUAUGUCUUGUGUGGAAGUCGGGCAAUACGGCUUCGAAGGGGAGGUAGAGAGACUGAAAAGGGACCAUAGCGUGCUCGUAGCUGAGGUAGUUAGGCUGAGACAGCAGCAACAUAACUCCAAGAGUCAAGUCGCAGAAAUGGAGCAACGUUUGCUAGUUACUGAGAAAAGACAGCAGCAAAUGAUGACGUUCCUCGCCAAGGCCUUGAACAAUCCAAACUUUGUUCAACAGUUCGCGCUAAUGAGCAAGGAGAAGAAGGGUUUGUUCGGUUCCGAUGUUGGUAGGAAGCGGAGGCUUACUUCUAGUCCAAGCUUGGGGACUAUCGAGGAGAGAGUGUUGCAUGAUCAUAUGGAGUUUGAUAGAAUGAAGGAUGAUAUGGAGACGUUACUUGCUGCAGCCAUAGAUGAUGAGGCGAGUGAGGAUGAACAAUGUUUGGAAGCUAUGAAUGUGAUGAUGGAAGAUGGUCCUUUAGAGCCAGAGAUAGAUGUCAAAGUGGAAGAUUUGGUAGCCUCACCGUUGGAUUGGGGCAGUGAGGACCUACACGACAUUGUCGAUCAAAUGGGUUUUCUUGGAUCAGAACCUUGAUUAUACAGCUCGAGCACAUCUCACUGUGGUCUCAGAGCUGUCUUGCGCAGUUUAAGUUGUGUCUCCAGAUCUUAGAAGCAGACAUGUUUUCAACCUGGAGCUGCAGUUUGAAAAUCUAGCUAGUGUAAAAGAGCCAAGACCUGUUUGUUACACUCCUUUUGGGAAAGGAGUCAAUGGUUCAUGCUUGGUGGGUGUGUUCGCGUGUGCAUAUGUAGCUAGCUUUUACUUUAUAUAUACAGAGAUUUUUAUAUAUACGGAGAAUGAUAGAAACUAUCUAAAUAUUGUAAAUAAUAAAAUUAAUAAAAUUAUGCCGAA